rnacentral:rRNA from 1 species
UUAAGUGAAUAAGGGCGCACGGUGGAUGCCUUGGCACUAGGAGCCGAUGAAGGACGGGACUAACACCGAUAUGCUUUGGGGAGCUGUACGUAAGCUAUGAUCCAGAGAUUUCCGAAUGGGGGAACCCAACAUCUUUAAUAGGAUGUUACGAUUGUGUGAAUACAUAGCACAUUCGAGGUAGACGCAGAGAACUGAAACAUCUAAGUACCUGCAGGAAGAGAAAGAAAAUUCGAUUCCCUGAGUAGCGGCGAGCGAAACGGGAAAAGCCCAAACCAGCAAGCUUGCUUGUUGGGGUUGUAGGACUCCAAUAUGGUAGUUCUUUCAGAUAGUCGAAUGACUUGGAAAAGUCAGUCAAAGAGGGUAAAAACCCCGUAGACGAAAUGUGGAAGACACCUAGGAGGAUCCUGAGUACGGCGGAACACGAGAAAUUCCGUCGGAAUCCGGGAGGACCAUCUCCCAAGGCUAAAUACUCCCUAGUGACCGAUAGUGAACCAGUACCGUGAGGGAAAGGUGAAAAGCACCCCGGAAGGGGAGUGAAAUAGAACCUGAAACCGUGUGCCUACAACAAGUCAAAGCCCGUUAAUGGGUGAUGGCGUGCCUUUUGUAGAAUGAACCGGCGAGUUACGAUUGCAUGCGAGGUUAAGUUGAAGAGACGGAGCCGCAGCGAAAGCGAGUCUGAAUAGGGCGUUUGAGUAUGUAGUCGUAGACCCGAAACCAUGUGAUCUACCCAUGUCCAGGUUGAAGGUGCGGUAAAACGCACUGGAGGACCGAACCCACGUACGUUGAAAAGUGCGGGGAUGAGGUGUGGGUAGCGGAGAAAUUCCAAACGAACUUGGAGAUAGCUGGUUCUCUCCGAAAUAGCUUUAGGGCUAGCCUCGGAAUUGAGAAUGAUGGAGGUAGAGCACUGUUUGGACUAGGGGCCCAUCUCGGGUUACCGAAUUCAGAUAAACUCCGAAUGCCAUUCAUUCAUAUCCGGGAGUCAGACUGUGAGUGAUAAGAUCCAUAGUCGAAAGGGAAACAGCCCAGACCACCAGCUAAGGUCCCAAAAUAUAUGUUAAGUGGAAAAGGAUGUGGGGUUGCACAGACAACUAGGAUGUUGGCUUAGAAGCAGCCACCAUUUAAAGAGUGCGUAAUAGCUCACUAGUCGAGUGACCCUGCGCCGAAAAUGUACCGGGGCUAAACAUAUUACCGAAGCUGUGGAGUACACCUUUAGGUGUAUUGGUAGGAGAGCGUUCUAAGGGCGUUGAAGGCAGAUCGUGAGGACUGCUGGAGCGCUUAGAAGUGAGAAUGCCGGUAUGAGUAGCGAAAGACAGGUGAGAAUCCUGUCCACCGAAUGACUAAGGUUUCCUGGGGAAGGCUCGUCCGCCCAGGGUUAGUCGGGACCUAAGCCGAGGCCGACAGGCGUAGGCGAUGGAUAACAGGUUGAUAUUCCUGUACCCGUUGUUUUUGUUUGAGCAAUGGAGGGACGCAGGAGGCUAAGGAAUGCAGACGAUCGGAAAUGUCUGUCCAAGCAGUAAGUCUGAAGAGGAGUCAAAUGCUUCUUUUCUUAAGGACAAGCUGUGAUGGGGAGGGAAAUAAUAGUACCGAAGUUCCUGAUGUCACACUGCCGAGAAAAGCUUCUAGUGAGAAAACAGCGGCCCGUACCGCAAACCGACACAGGUAGUCGAGGAGAGAAUCCUAAGGUGAGCGAGAGAACUCUCGUUAAGGAACUCGGCAAAAUGACCCCGUAACUUCGGGAGAAGGGGUGCUGAUCAUACGAUCAGCCGCAGUGAAUAGGCCCAAGCGACUGUUUAUCAAAAACACAGGUCUCUGCAAAAUCGUAAGAUGAAGUAUAGGGGCUGACGCCUGCCCGGUGCUGGAAGGUUAAGAGGAGUGCUUAGCGCAAGCGAAGGUACGAAUUGAAGCCCCAGUAAACGGCGGCCGUAACUAUAACGGUCCUAAGGUAGCGAAAUUCCUUGUCGGGUAAGUUCCGACCCGCACGAAAGGCGUAACGAUUUGGGCACUGUCUCAACGAGAGACUCGGUGAAAUUUUAGUACCUGUGAAGAUGCAGGUUACCCGCGACAGGACGGAAAGACCCCAUGGAGCUUUACUGUAGUUUGAUAUUGAGUGUCUGUACCGCAUGUACAGGAUAGGUAGGAGCCGUAGAAAUCGGAACGCUAGUUUCGAUGGAGGCGCUGGUGGGAUACUACCCCUGCGUUAUGGCCACUCUAACCCGCACCACUAAUCGUGGUGGGAGACAGUGUCAGAU